UCCACUUGCUCCUGAAGAUUGUAAGUGAUUUGCUUUUAGCAUACCCUCGACAAAUUUUAAGGAGCCUAUGAAGAGAUAUCAUUGGAAAGUAUUGCCUCAGGGUAUGGCUAAUAGUCCUACUUUGUGUCAGAAAUUUGUAGUUCAGGCAGUAAAUAAAAUUAGGCAAAUAUAUCCCUAAAUCUAUAUUGUUCAUUAUAUGGAUGAUAUACUUCUAGCUCAUGGACAAGAAGGCCUCUUAUUAACAGCCUAUGCUCAUUUACAACAAGCUUUAAAGGAUUACGGAUUGAUGAUUACACUGGAAAAGGUUCAGACUGAGCCACCAUAUUCCUAUUUAGGAAAUAAGUUAUAUCCCAAAUCCAUAUUACCUCAGGUUCAAAUUAGGAAAGACAAUUUACACACUUUGAAUGAUUUUCAGAAAUUGUUAGGAGAUAUUCAUUGGCUUAGACCAUAUUUAAAAAUCUCCACCGGAGAAUUGAAACCUUUAUUCGAUAUCCUCUGGGGAGAUUCUGAUCCUACAUCUGUUAGAAAAUUAGCUGAAGGUCAGAUGGCCUUGUGUGAGAUAGAACAAGCUAUAGAAUGACAGCAAGUUCAAUAUAUAGAUUAUGCUCGAGGAUGGGCUGCCUAUGUUCUGGUGACAGCACAUGCUCCCACUGCCAUUUUAUGGCAAGAGGGUCCCUUGCUUUGGUUGCAUUUGCCUGUUUCUCCAGCCAGAGUGUUAACUCCCUAUUAUGAAUCUGUGGUGUGCCUGGUUCAUAUGGCGCGUGAGGAAUCUCGAAAAUAUUUUGGAGCAGAGCCUUCCUUAAUUGGAGUCCCAUUUACCAAACAACAGUUAGAUUGGCUAUUCCAAAAUGUGGACAUGUGGGCCAUUGCAUUUGCACAUUACCCUGGAUGUAUAGAUAACCAUAUCCCCAAGGAUAAAUUAUUGCAAUUUGUUAAUAUUCAUGCUUUGGUGUUUCCCAAGAUUAUGAAACAGGAACCCAUAAAAAAUGCUCAAGUAGUUUUCACUGAUGGGUCUUCCAAUGGUAUUGCGGCAUAUGUUAUUCAGGAAAAGCCACAGAUUGUCCAUACAGCCCCCACCUCCGCUCAGAUUGUUGAGCUUCGCGCUGUCGCUGUGGUAUUUGAACUUUUGGCCCAUUAUUCUUUCAAUUUGUAUACAGAUAGUCAUUAUAUUGUUAAAGCUUUACAGGUGCUUGAAACAGUUGCUUAUAUUGAUGUGGCUAAUAAUCAAAUACAGGAGCUCUUUGCUCAGAUACAAUGGUGCAUACAUACCCGGACCUGUCCUUGUUAUGUGGGUCACAUUAGGGCUCAUUCUGGGCUUCCUGGACCCCUGGAAAAAGGAAAUGAUCUUGCAGAUCAGGCCACACAGCUAGUAGCUUUCAGUCAAUUGGAAUUAGCUCAGCAGUCUCAUGCUCUACAUCAUCAAAAUAGCCACAGCUUAAGGAAGCAAUUCCAUAUAACUCGAGAAGCUGCUCAACAAAUAGUUAAGCAAUGUUCUGCCUGUCCUAUACAUCAUUCUGUCCCUCAUUAUGGGGUAAAUCCCCGCGGCGUUAAACCUAGUCAGUUAUGGCAAAUGGAUUUUACCCAUAUUGCCGAAUAUGGAAAACAGAAAUAUAUACAUGUAAGUAUUGAUACCUUUUCGGGAUUUAUUAUGGCCACCGCACAAGCUGGAGAAGCUACGAAACAUGUGAUAGCCCAUUGUUUAACAUGCUUUGCCACAACUGGGGUCCCUAUCAUUCUUAAAACUGAUAAUGGCAUGGGAUAUACUAGUAAAGCUUUUCAAAUCUUUUGUAAACAGAUGGGUAUCGCCCAUAAGGCAGGUAUUCCUUAUAAUCCACAAGGCCAAGGGAUUGUGGAAAGAGCCCAUGGUGCUCUAAAAAAUCAAUUGCAAAAAAUAAAAAAGGGGGAGUUAUACCCUUUAUCCCCACAGAAUUAUUUACAUCAUGCUCUCUUCAUCCUGAACUUUUUGAUUGUGGAUGCUUAUGGAUUGACUGCAGCAGAAUGGCUGUGGCAUCCUAAAGCUAAAUCAUCAUAUGCUCAAGUGAAGUGGAAAGAUCCCCUCAAGGGUGUAUGGAGUGGCCCCGACCCGGUAUUAAUAUGGGGACGAGGUCAUGUUUGUGUUUUCCUUCAGGACACUGAAGGUGCCAGGUGGCUGCCUGAAAGAUUGGUCCAUUUUGCGGGAAAUUCUCCUGCCCCUUAGGAUGAUCCCAACAACUGUUCUGCUGAUAAAUCUAAUGAUGACGCUUAAUGAGAAGGUUUAUUGGACUUAUGUACCUGAUCCACCUGUUGUACAUCCAACGAGCUGAAAAAAUGGAGAAGUAAUGGUAUGGGUGAACAAUACCAGGCUGUUGGAUGAGCCAGCGGCACCUGACAAGAACGAGGUCCGAUUGUUCAACUAUAUGGGAUCAGAAACCAGAACCCCCAUAUGUUUCUUCAAAAUCAACAGAACUGAUUGUAUAAGACUGAGCGCUCGCACCCUGGCAGGAAGACUUGGGACCCAGCACUCGCCCAAGUUGCAAAAGCGUGGGCAAAAAAUUGUCUCUUUGGACACAACCCACAGCUGAAGUCACACAGGCUCCACCCAAACUUUGAUUCACUGGGAGAAAAUAUCUGGACUGGAUCUUUGUUCCUGUUUUCAGUGUCUUCAGCCAUCUCAAAU